ensembl:lncRNA
CCAGGCUUGAGUGGAUGUAGUCAGGAACGAAGAGGAAACAGAAGCAGAAACAUGGGAAGCUGCUGGACAAGGAAAGUGAAAGGGACUAUUAUUAUUCAGUCGUUGUUCUGCAAGCAACACAGCCAGACAAGGUAACAGCAAGAAAGUAGUUAUGACUCACACCCAAAUCCCCUCCUAAACAAAGCCCUCAAAGUCAAUCAUCAACUUACUUUCUGAAAGUGUACAAGGAAAUAAGAGGUUCUUUGAUUCCAGUCAGAUGCUUACCUGAAGAAACGAGAGGACAAGCACUUCUUCACACUGAGGUUUUAAGUGCCAAGAUGUGUCUGCCACAACUGGGGGUACUUUGGCUUUUUGUUGCUGUCAGACUCACAACAGCAGAGCAGGUGACGGUACACACGAGUGACUCUGUAAGAGUGUCAUGUCUUCAGAGUGUCACCCUUCACUGCAACAUCACUUCCCAGGAGGAGCUGCAGAUCAAGCAUCUGUCCUGGUUCAACGCAGACAUUCCAGACUCGACACUGUGUGAAGUUAACCCGCAGACAGGGGAGAUCGAGCCGCCGAACCCACAGAACCCACAGAACCCACAGAACUUACACAGACGCGUGCAGUGCACUUACACCCCAUCCUCCCAGCUGACCCUGACCCUGUUCCCCGUACGACCACAUGAUCAGGGAACGUACACCUGCAAGCUGCGCUCAACCAAAGGGAUAAAGGUUUCAACUACGCGCGUGGAGUUACAAGAGUGCUACAGGGAGGCCUUUGCCAGCUUCAACGACCUGGGUCCCACCUGCGUCUUCACUGGGGUCUACCCUGACGGAGAUGUACACUGGUUCCAGGGAACCAACAACCUGACUGGGGACGCCCAAAACAACACUAAGCAAGAGGAGGUUGGAGGUGCGCGGACUGUGACUAGUUCCCUGAAGAUAGGAAAUGAGGGAGGGGCCUACAACUGUUCCCUGUGGAUACCCAGCACCGGAGUCUACCUGACCAGUAGAGAUAUAGGAUGUGUGGAGGAAUCUUCUUUUCGUUCCAAAUCAAUAGCCGGAUGUGGGGUGGCGGCAUUCGGACCUGUGUGGACACUCUAUUUUUUUUUUCUCUUCUUGCAUUCCAUUGUUUCCUCUGUAUAGCAAACAGCAGUAUCAUUUAAGCAACGCUGGCCGCUGUGUGUGGUUCCUCUCAGAACACAACACAAUUCCCAGAUGAAAUGGCCUGAUAACCUGGCUCAAGAACAAAUCAGUGGACAUUAGGGGAAUUUAUGUGAAUGUGUGUAUGUGUGCAUGUGAUUCCUUGGGUGAUCAGCAUCUUUGAUGGACGGCAUAAUAAUUCAACAGACUCACACACAAUUUGCACAUAACAAGGAGUAACGGCAUUUCAGGGAGAUCUGAUUUGUGUGAAAAUUGGGUGAUCCAAUAUCACACUGUAAAUAAUGUUUUGCUGAGGAGUUGUGGUCAGUGAUGGUGGUCAUAAACGCUAGCGACACAGACCCCAAUACCUGUGAGUUUGAAUCAUGACACAGUGGAUUUUUCUUGUCCAUAAUUAACGCCCCUUAACCAUACAGGAGUGUUACCUAACCUUAAUCACUUUUGCUCUCUUACCUUAACCCCUAACCAUAACCAUUCUGGAGUAUUACCUAGCACAACGCUUCCCUAAAACAGACAAAAUGUUUUAGUGCAUAUUUAGUAUGUGUCUGUGUAUGUUCAAGAUCUACAAACUGCUUAUUUUUACAACCAUUUCCUUAACUGGACAAAGAAACACAGAGAAUACCACUUAGCAGUGUCGGCCGAACCCGGAAACAGAUGUUUCUCAGGAUACAGUCUUUCAGCAAAACUCUCAGCACCUUCCUUUUCCCUUGAAACACCGAUGCCUGAGAGUUGGUCCUUACGUUUCCUUUAGGCCUGUUAGCCAACAAAGACAUUGCACUGACCUCACUGUCUUUCUCAGGUUGGCAAAUGUUGCCCUCUGCUGAUGUCAAAAGAGUACUGCUGAUUUUUUUUAAGUAACAACCUUAAUUGUAAUUUCAGAUGGCAUUAAUGCAACUGCAAAUCAUAGUCCAUCCAAGCUACAUAGCUCUAUGUCGGAUGUGAAGCCAUAGUCAUGUAUUAAAAAGGUGGCAACAGGGAAGAAUCCAAGAAUAACCUAGCGUUCAAGAGCUUGGGCCAGUAUACAUAAAGUUGUUGUUUUGAAUCCCAGAACCAACACGGUGAAAUCCCUGUUGUUCUGUCCCUUUACAAGACAGAUAACCCUAACUGCUUCCAGGUGAUUGCGGUAAAUUGGAAUCAUAAGAACAUUCAUUUCUGAUUUUAAAAAAAGGCCAGUGAGCAAAUUUUGUUCUCUCUUUUUGUUCUACUUCUACUGAAUUCGUUACUUGGUACAUUAAUUAAAGAAAGCAAUGUCAAAAUGUAGCAUUAUUUAACUUGUCUUUUCAUAUAUACAGGGACUUGGAUUUAAACAAUAAUUAUGAUAAUUUUACUCUCAGUUCUCACCAAGACAUACAGCACGUAAUAUAAGGCUUCAAAGAAUGUUUAUUUAUACGUAAGAAAUUAUUUUAUCAUUCUUUGCUUUUUGAACCAACCUCUUUGUUUGAGCCUCACGGACAGUUUGGUUCACUAUUGUUAUCUGUUAUGUGAAUUGUGAUUGGAUUUAAUUGCCUCGGUACGCUGGUAUAUGGAAAUCAGGCAGAGUUUAAAACGUGCGCACAGCCGAUAAGCAAGCCCCCUCCCAUAGGGUUCCCUCGAUGAGUCAAGUGCAAAGGACCUCCAUUCAAUAAGAACACCACUAUCAACGUCUUUUAGGCCCACUAAAAAGACACAUUUAACAGUUUUCCUCAUAUAUUACAACAGUUAGAUUAUCCACUUUUCAGAAUAAGCCUGUAACUGAACAAAAUGUGGAAAAGGUAAAGCGCUCUAAAUACUUUUGGAAUGCACUGGAUAUUUAAUUUGUAAAUGUAAUGUACAUCAUCUUAAAAUUAUGUAAUGAAAGUAUAGGAUAUGUUCUUGUAUAGGAACACUUGUAUCUCUUCAUCUCAUUUGUUCAACACUAAGUGUAUUGAAAAUAUAUGUAUAUCAACUUCAGUUGAUUUGAUGUAUUCUGUGCUCAUACAUUUUCGACCACUAGUAGCAACUUCACAUCAAGUGAAACAGUGAUUUCUUGGUAUGGCUUUGACUAAAUGUACUUUUAAUAAAUACAUUAAAGUUCA